GAAAUCUCAGACAUCCAUCGGCAGGAGUUUCUUCUUUCCAGACUCUGGAGAUCUGAAAGGGGACGUGACCUGGAGAAAGGGGAGGUGACCUGGAGAAGCUCUCUGAGACUCAGUUUACCUCUGACAGCUCUACCCUCCCCUGACAAGAUGGGGAUGUGAAAGACUGCCAAGCAUGCCAGAGUAUCAAUGAUGCCUCACUCCACCUGGUGUCACUUGUUCCCACCUCCAUUUCAUGUACCUUCCUAAUAACGGUGCAAGGAAGAGGAUAACUGACAACCGGAACUGAGUCCCUGCUCACCCAGGUCCAACACAGCUGCUGAAGGAUGCACCUACAUCCCCGCCUCUGUCCUUGUUCGCUGGGCUGCCGCUCUUGUUCAACUAUUCUUGGAUUCCCAGAAGCCCUGACAUAGUCCCAUUCAUCCCUAUUUCUUUGUAAUGCAGGAAUAAACUAUUUGUAGGCAAAUUGGCAUACUUCACUUCCGAAGUAAAAU
rnacentral:lncRNA from 1 species